AGAGGAGCCCAGCAUUGAAUUCCAGCUGACCCCAUUCAGUGAUCAGCCCUGAACACAGACCACUCACCAUGGAGUUUGGGCUGAGCUGGCUUUUCCUUGUUGCUAUUUUUAAAGGUGUCCAGUGUCAGGUACAGCUGGUGGAGUCUGGGGGAGGCUUGGUGCAGCCUGGAGGGGCUCUGAAACUCUCCUGUGCAGCCUCUGGAUUCACAGUCAGUAGCUACUGGAUGAACUGGGUCCGCCAGGCUCCAGGAAAGGGGCUAGAGUGGGUUGCAACAAUUAGUGGUGGUAGCACAUACUACCUGGACUCUGUGAAAGGCCGAUUCACCAUCUCUACAGACAAUAACAAGAACCAGCUGUAUCUGCAAAUGAGCAGCCUGAGAGCCGAGGACACAGCUGUGUAUUAUUGUGCAAGGGACACAGUGAGAAGGCUUCAGUGUGAGCCCAGACAUAAACCACUCUGCAGUUCUAUUCGUGACCAGCAGGGGGCAGUCUGCACACACUGA